AUUGAACGCUGGCGGCAGGCCUAACACAUGCAAGUCGAACGAGUGGCGGACGGGUGAGUAAUGUCUGGGAAACUGCCCGAUGGAGGGGGAUAACUACUGGAAACGGUAGCUAAUACCGCAUACCAUCGGAUGUGCCAAAAUUGGAUUAGCUAGUAGGUGGGGUAACGGAUCACCUAGGCAACGAUCCCUAGCUGGUCUGAGCGGAUGACCAGCCACACUGGACCUGAGACACGGUACAGACUCCUACGGGAGGCAGCAGUGGGGAAUAUUGCACAAUGGGCGAAAGCCUGAUGCAGCCAGGCCGCGUGUAUGAAGAAGGCCUUCGGGUUGUAAAGUACUUUCAGCGAGGAGGCGUUACUCGAAGAAGAAGCACCGGCUAACUCCGUGCCAGCAGCCGCGGAAAUUC
rnacentral:rRNA from 1 species